rnacentral:rRNA from 1 species
AGCGAACGCUGGCGGCAGGCCUAACACAUGCAAGUCGAACGAACUCUUCGGAGUUAGUGGCGGACGGGUGAGUAACACGUGGGAACGUGCCUUUAGGUUCGGAAUAACUCAGGGAAACUUGUGCUAAUACCGAAUGUGCCCUUCGGGGGAAAGAUUUAUCGCCUUUAGAGCGGCCCGCGUCUGAUUAGCUAGUUGGUGAGGUAAAGGCUCACCAAGGCGACGAUCAGUAGCUGGUCUGAGAGGAUGAUCAGCCACAUUGGGACUGAGACACGGCCCAAACUCCUACGGGGGGCAGCAGUGGGGAAUCUUGCGCAAUGGGCGAAAGCCUGACGCAGCCAUGCCGCGUGAAUGAUGAAGGUCUAGGAUUGUAAAAUUCUUUCACCGGGGACGAUAAUGACGGUACCCGGAGAAGAAGCCCCGGCUAACUUCGUGCCAGCCGCCGCGGUAA